AGAUAGCUUGGUCGGCAGAGCAUGAGACUCUUAAUCUCGGGGUCAUGGGUUUGAGCCCCAUGUUGAGUA